AUUGAACGCUGGCGGCAGGCCUAACACAUGCCAGUCGAGCGGAUGAAGGGAGCUUGCUCCUGGAUUCAGCGGCGGACGGGUGGGUAAUGCCUAGGAAUCUGCCUGUUAGUGGGGGAUAACGGCCGGAAACGGGCGCUAAUACCGCAUACGUCCUGAGGGAGAAAGUGGGGGAUCUUCGGACCUCACGCUAUCAGAUGAGCCUAUGUCGGAUUAGCGAGUUGGUGGGGUAAAGGCCUACCAAGGCGACGAUCCGUAACUGGUCUGAGAGGAUGAUCAGUCACACUGGAACUGAGACACGGUCCAGACUCCUACGGGAGGCAGCAGUGGGGAAUAUUGGACAAUGGGCGAAAGCCUGAUCCAGCCAUGCCGCGUGUGUGAAGAAGGUCUUCGGAUUGUAAAGCACUUUAAGUUGGGAGGAAGGGCAGUAAGUUAAUACCUUGCUGUUUUGACGGUACCCACAGAAUAAGCACCGGCUAACUUCGUG
rnacentral:rRNA from 1 species